AGAUCAAUGAUGAAAUCCAUAUAUACAUUCCUUGGAAAUCUGAACAAAAUGAGUGAAAAACCCCUACCGUCUUGCUCAUCGACCUGAGGUCC
rnacentral:snoRNA from 12 species